GGAAAACCCACGUGCAUAAAAAUACUACAAAGGGUAAACCGGAUUUGUAACCUUAUUGGCUGGUUGGCCAACAAAAGACCUUAUUGCCUUUCCUACACGAAACUGUGCCCCGGAGGUGCUAAACUUAAGCGUGCGAGCUUCUGGCUUCCAGCCUUCCUCUAGAGCCCGGGGGUGGGGAGAGAAGGCCCAAUUUGCACUGAAGCAGACAGUUAGUAGUUAGGUCGAACUUCCCCUGCAGCUCAACCAGACGUGCAGUGCGGUCGAAUAAGGAAACAGGAGCGUUUAAGGCUUCAGCACGGCAGGAUAGAGAAAGCAUAGUCUUAAUUUAGGAAUGCGUUCUGAAUCCUCUCCCUUAUCUGCCCGGAUCAACCUGCAAUUUUAUGCUCACGAACCUGGGAAUAAAUGCUUUGAACGAAUUGGGGUUUCCUUCGGACUGAGCGUGGGGAAGAUUGCUCAGGAAAUGCUUUACUGGACACAGGUAGUGAUUUCACUCGCCUCCAGGUGUUCCAGCUGAAUUGGCUGUUGGACAGGCCCGAAAACACUGUACGAUCCGAUUCAGGUGAAGACACCAGAGAAAUUCGUCUCCCCGUGAAAUGUUUCUCCAGGAGCUGUCCCAUGUAAAUCUAGGAAACUAAUUCAAGGUGGUUAUAACUAAAGCACCAGACUGGUUUAAGUAUACCAAGAACAGAUGUGCCUGGGCCACCAGCCCAAACUCUUCAUAUCAAUCAAUGACUGAGCAUCUAAAUGAACUUUCAAGCUAUGAGUCUGAUUACUUCAAGGGAGUACAUUCCCCAGUACAACAGCUGACAUUGCCGCUUUGUAAAUUUCCUAUUCAGUAUGCCCCUUUCUUACCAGGAUUAAAAUUUAAUUUGUUUACUCCUGUCCAAGUAUCCACCACAUUUCAAGUGCUGACUCAGAUGGAAUACAAUGGAAUUGAAAUACCAAACACAGUGGCAUUAGUUUUCAGUAGAAUGAAAAUCCAGUGCCUGUCACUGAUGGAGCUUUCCCCCUCCCAGGAGAUCUAAACAGGUAUUAAAAAGCAAAAGAGGCCAAAUGCACAGGCCAAAGAUUAGCUGUGCAGCCCUUAGAACCAUUUUAAUAUUUAUCUCUAUAGAAGAAAAGAUUUCUGACUGAUUAUGUCCCGUCAAGUGGCUUUCAACCCCUAGGGACCACAUAAAAAGCUAUCACAAAAUUGAGCAAUCCCUCCAAAAAGCUGAUUCAGAAGAUACCAUGGGCAAUAUUUGAAAGUCAGGUCAUAAAUCAAGGCAUUGCCUUAUUCUGCUCCCACUUUCUAAACCCAGAACAAGAUUUUCUGUCCAUACAAUUUUCCACCACCAAAGCAAACAUAUCAACAUUCUUGCACAAGAGUUUAUGGAAUUCAUCAACUUUUAAAUCACUGAGCUGCCUCUGCAAAGGACACCACUUGGAGAUCAGCCUGAAGUUUUCUCCAAAUACCCAAUAGAGUUAUAAGAUACUGUAGCCGAUUCAGUUUAUCAGUUUUUGCCAUCUUCUCAAAGCAAUCUUGAUUGGCACUGGUAAUGGCCAAAGAAACUCCUGUACAAAGAUACAAAGCCUCUGUGAGCUGUUGGAAAUGCUAGUCAAGACUGGAAAGCUAUGCCAAGCAUCCUCAGAAGCAAAUUAAGUUUCUUCUUUGCUUCCAUAUUGAGAACUGCAAUGUCAUGUUUUCUGCAAUGAAACAAAUUUGGGCUAUUGCUAUCAAUUCUGGAUUUGUAUAUAUGUGUUCUAAAAAACAACACCCAAAAGAAAAAAUAACAGGACAAUGACCAGCACAUUAGCAUCAAUUUAUAAUACAAAAUAAAAAUGUUCAGAGAAAUAUAAAUGGAAGAACUGCAGCAAGCUAUUCAGAGCUAAGAAACUGAAAUAACUCGGAAGCAAACCAGGGGAGUUGGAAUUGAGGGAGCCAGCAUAGCUGUUGAACCAUUUUCAUUUCUAAACUGGGCACCCUCUCCUCUACCUUUCCUCAGAAGGAACAACACCAUCUACCCAAAUAAGCAAAAGAAAUGGAAACAAAGAAUGACUGAGCAUCUAAAAUAGCACAAAACAACCGAAUAAGAUUGCCUACAUCGAAAUGUGUCACAAAGACUCAGCUAGAUAACUAUUAAAAGAGGCCAAUGCUGUAAUAUCAAAAAAUAAGCACUUUGUCAGAAACAAACCAUGGCUGCAGUUAUAGUUGAAUACCUUGGCUUCAAAAUCAAAGGAACAAGGUAAUUCUGGGCACAGCUAUAGGACAACCCAAAGAAAUACAACAAAAAUGCAUCUUAGAUAAAGGAGAUGAAAAAAGUACAACAAAAAAAAAAAAAAAGAAAGAAAGAAAGAAAAGAGGCUGAACUUGUAAUAACAGCAGAAAUGGUGGUGAAAACAGCACAGAAGAUGAACUGCAUAGUUUUUGGUUGAAACAUCAGACUGGUCUACAAACACUCAUUGUCAAGCUGUUUAAUAUACUUCAAGGAGAUGUAACUGAAGAUUGGUUAACAUCUAGUGAAAUAUAUCUGAUAAUAGAAGAUCCAGCAAAAAGGGGCAGCACCAGGCAAUUAAAGACCAAUUACCGUAUUUUUCGGAGUAUAAGACGCACUUCCUCCACCCAAAAAAGUGGGUGGAAAUGUCUUUGCAUCUUAUACUCCAAAUAUUGCGGCAGGGGGGAGGAGGUUGGUGUGGCACCAAUCAUCUGUUCUAGAAUGGGCUGCGGUGGUGGCGGAAAAUGGGUGGCAGCAAAUGGGCAGUGGUGGUGAAUGGGCUGUGGUGAAUGGGACGCGGUGAAUGGGCUGUGGCGAAUGAGCUGUGGCAGCAAAUGGGCUGCAGCGAAUGGCAGCAAUGCGUAUAUAACUCAUGGCAGCAAACCUACUUAAUAUUCCUUCUCCUAUUUUCCCCACAACCACCGUGAGGUGGACUGGGGAGAGAGGGAGGGAGAGAGAGAAAGGGGGGGAGGGAGAGAUAGAGAUAGAGAUAGAGAUAGAUAGAUACAUAGAUACAUAGAUAGAUACAUAGAUAGAUAGAUAGAUAGAGAGAGAGAGAGAGAGAGAGAGAGAGUCUGGCCCGAAGUCACUCAUCUAGUUUUCAUACCUAAAGUGGGACUAGAACUCCUAUUUCUAGGUCAGCACCUUCAACAUUAUACCAAACUAGCUUUGGACACGUGAUCACAUUUGUGCUAUAUGGUAGAAAGGACUCUCUCCAUCUACAGACAACCAAAUUUCAAUAACAGUGGAUUUCAGGAGGAAUGUCCUGCACACAUACACACACAUACACAACAUACCACACACAAUUAAUAUCCAAUCCAUAGGGUAGAAGUAUUAUUUUCUCCUACUGCUAUCUUCAUGCUGUGCAUAAUCAGCUGAAAGUAAGCUUCAUUGCUGAGGUUACACAUUAUAGACUAAUUCAGAGAUGGGAAACAUGCCAUCUCCCCACCCUCAAACAGUUGGAAGGCCAAAGGUGACAACUGGAGGGUGGGGGGAGAGAAGUAACCAGCAUUCAGAUGUUUAUUAGUGGGAAUGGAAGCCAGACAUGAGAAAUUUGUGGGAAGAAAUUUGCUCUUUCCCCCACUUAGGCUGUUCCUCAACUGUCCCAAAGUUCUCAAAAAUUGCAUGGUUGAAAUUUGGUGUCAAAAUGGUCAAAUUUUGGGGAUGCCUUUAAUCUGCUUAGGGAAGAGGGGAUUGUAUCUUUUGAGCAUGGGAACUGGAGCCACAAACAUUUCAUACAACAGGGCCUGGUGGCUCAGCAGACUAAAAGCAUUGUGAUUAACACCAGCUGUCUGCAAUUACUGCAAGUUCAAAUCUCACCAGGCUCAAGUUGACUCAGCCUUCCAUCCUUUCUAAGGUAGGUAAAAUGAGGACCCGGAUUGUGGGGGCAAUAAACUGACUUUGUAUAAAUAUACAAAAGUAUGAAGGCUAUUGCUUAACGCAUUGUAAGCCACCCUGAGUCUCCGGAGAAGGGCGGCAUAUAAAUCAAAUUAAAUAAAUAAAUAAAUAAAAUAAAUUUCAAACUCAAUUAUUGAUUUUAGGAUGCAGAUAAUGAGUACUUAGUGCCAUGGCUUGACUCUUGAUGGUUUGAAACAAAACAUUAAACUUUACUGUUUAGGUUAUGCCAUUUUACAGAAGACAUAGUUUUGCUUGUUUGUUUUGUCAUUUUAUUCUCCUUCAAAUAAUACUCCAAACCAUCUGUCUAUUUAUAUCCUGUUAUGUACAGUAUCUUCCCUGGUUGUGUGUGUGUGUGUGUGUGUGUGUGUGUGUGUUUUGAAGUUUAGAAUGAUUUAAAAUUAAAUGCACAAUCAAACACAUUCACAGUUGUAUUCCUGACUCAUCCCCCACUCCAUUUAAUAUUUUUAAAUAAACCAGCCAGAAAACUGUAUAGAAAAACUGUGUAGUAUAGUGUUAAUGAAAUAUAGUACAAUAUGUCACUGAAUAGUAAGCAAUGUACUUUGAUUGUCUUUGCUUAGGCCCCUCAGCUGCAAUAAAAACAAACCCUUUUUUGACAA